CCAGUCAGAGCCAAGCAGGCCCAUUUAAAAAGGGAGCUGCAGGGCAGAGGAAGGCAGUUCUCCGCUGGGAGCCCAGGGAGGAAGGACUGUGUCUCUGGAGGGCUGAGACAACUGCAAGCACCCGGGACAGAGCUGUGCUGCUAGAAGGGACCGGGGGAGCGAGAGACAGCUCCUGGCUGGCCACUGGGGUUUGCAGGCUGAGGCAAUGGCAAAGAAGAUGCUGGGGCCAUGAAGAAGUGGCCAGACAGCUCGCUGCAGUUGCCACUAAGGGAAGUGACUGAACAGCAGACUGCAGGUCCCCCAGAAUUGCAGCACAGCCAGAAGGCUGUGUUGCUGAAGAGGAUGUCAUAGUCCUUGAAGAGACGUGGUUCCUAGAGCAGGAGUGAUGGCAGCGAGGCACCAUCCAAAGAGGGCACAUUAACUUGCAGAGCUAAUUCCCAUGACAGCCGGCAGGAGGUGCCAGACAAAGUCUUUCCAGGGCUCUCACCACUUUUGCUGCCCUUUCGGCCAUACUAUGUCCUUUGUGAGAUGGAGCAACCAAAGCUGAACACAGGAUUCCAGUGCAACAUUUCCUCCUCAUUGAGCGAACCCUGGACUCAAGUGACGUGGGGGAAAAGGAAAACUGCUAAAGAGCACUGGCCACAUCCAUGCUCAGUUGCUGCUUAUAACACAACGCUAUG